AUUGGACGCUGGCGGCAUGCUUUACACAUGCAAGUCGAACGGUAACAGGUUAAGCUGACGAGUGGCGAACGGGUGAGUAAUGCAUCGGAACGUGCCCGGUCGUGGGGGAUAACGCAGCGAAAGCUGCGCUAAUACCGCAUACGAUCUGAGGAUGAAAGCGGGGACCGUAAGGCCUCGCGCGAUCGGAGCGGCCGAUGUCAGAUUAGGUAGUUGGUGGGGUAAAGGCUCACCAAGCCAACGAUCUGUAGCUGGUCUGAGAGGACGACCAGCCACACUGGGACUGAGACACGGCCCAGACUCCUACGGGAGGCAGCAGUGGGGAAUUUUGGACAAUGGGCGAAAGCCUGAUCCAGCAAUGCCGCGUGCAGGAAGAAGGCCUUCGGGUUGUAAACUGCUUUUGUACGGAGCGAAAAGGUCUCCUCUAAUACAGGGGGCUCAUGACGGUACCGUAAGAAUAAGCACCGGCUAACUACGUGCCAGCAGCCGCCGUAA
rnacentral:rRNA from 1 species